UUGACUUGCAGAAGGAGAAGGCGAAAGCCUUCGCAAGGUUCGAGUUGUACAGCGCAUAGCGCAAACAACUCGAAGGGUGAGAGUUAAGCGAUAAACAAUCCUUCUCCUCCCUUAA
rnacentral:sRNA from 2 species